GGGCCACUAGCUCAGUUGGUAGAGCAGGACACUCUUAAUGUCAAGGUCGUAGGUUCGACUCCUACGUGGCCCA
rnacentral:tRNA from 1 species